GACGAACGCUGGCGGCGUGCUUAACACAUGCAAGUCGAACGGUGAAGCUCCAGCUUGCUGGAGUGGAUCAGUGGCGAACGGGUGAGUAACACGUGAGCAACCUGCCCCUGACUCUGGAAUAAGCGCUGGAAACGGCGUCUAAUACUGGAUACGAGAAGGGUCCGCAUGGGCACUUUCUGGAAAGUUUUUCGGUUGGGGAUGGGCUCGCGGCCUAUCAGCUUGUUGGUGAAGUAAUGGCUCACCAAGGCGACGACGGGUAGCCGGCCUGAGAGGGCGACCGGCCACACUGGGACUGAGACACGGCCCAGACUCCUACGGGAGGCAGCAGUGGGGAAUAUUGCACAAUGGGCGAAAGCCUGAUGCAGCGACGCCGCGUGAGGGAUGACGGCCUUCGGGUUGUAAACCUCUUUCAGCAGGGAAGAAGCGAAAGUGACGGUACCUGCAGAAGAAGCACCGGCUAACUACGU
rnacentral:rRNA from 1 species